rnacentral:misc_RNA from 1 species
CAGUGCACGGUGCUGGUUUAGCGUUUGUUGUGACACUACGGCUUUGGGCAUAUCUUAUUCUUUUCUGCCAAAGUCGGGGGUCACGGUGCCGUCGUAUGCAGCAACCCUCCCCUCUUUCCCCUUCCCCAAACCAAGGAACGAACGCACACGAAGAGAGUGUCUGUGCUGCGCUGAAUAAGCCGCGGGUUCUUUCUCUUUAAUCCUCGACACGAAGGCAGAAGAGAAGUAUCGAGGAAGGCUCAGCGGCGCCGACGUAGCGUUCACCUUUCCCCCGCUGAAGUACGGUGAGUGCCGUCGCAAAUCUCUUUUUUUCACCUCUACGUUUCACGGCGCGAGCACACCGUCAGCAUCGUCUCUCAAUUUUGCCUAUCACUUUCUAUUUUCUCGCUGCUCUGCCGAAACGAAACCGUGUGCUGCACUUCUCCGUGGCACUGGAUAAGAUACACCACAAACACCCACAAACAAAAUAAAAAAUAGCGAAGAGACGCCCCCCAAAAAAAAAACUGUGUCGUACAGUAUUCGCCUUUGGAACCGAUCCAUUGUUUUAUCGACUCGUGUCCACAGGCCACGUGCACACGCACCGCAAGUGAAAGCGCAGGUCGUGUUCGAGAAGGAGAAGCGGUGAGGUACGAGUGUGUUAACCCCCAAGAUGGCGGCACCCAGCGACGCACUUAUCAAGAAGGUGUGCAACGCGUUCCCUGCCACCUUUGGGGUAGACACCGAGGAGGACAGAAGUCCUGCUGAAGGCCGCCUCUCACGUCCCUUCCGAUACUACUUGGACACGGUGCUGGGGUCUGGGACUUCGGGAACGGUGCUCUACGCCCGUCGCGUGCGCGAUGAUUACCCGUUCGCGGUUAAGGUGAUGGACGUAGAGGGCUACACGCCGCAGGAGAUCAUGCGGGCGUCGGGUGAGGUGUGCUGCCUGCUCAGCUGCGACUACUUCUCGAUCGUUAAGUGCCACGAAGACUUUGUGUACAGUGACGAGAGGAAUCCGGAAAGCGUUUCCAUGAUGGCCAUGGUGCUGGACUACGCCAACGCCGGUGAUCUCCGCCAAGAGAUCAAGAACCGAAGCAAGACGAACCGCCCUUUUGCGGAGCAUGAGGCCGGCCUGAUCUUUAUCCAGGUGCUGCUGGCCGUCCACCACGUCCACUCGAAGCGCAUGAUUCACCGUGAUAUCAAGAGUGCCAAUAUCCUGCUGUGCAGCAACGGUCUUGCAAAGCUUGGCGACUUCGGUUUUAGCAAGCACUACGCCGCUACCGUGAGCGACGAUGUCGGCCGCACGUUCUGUGGCACCCCCUACUACGUGGCACCGGAGAUUUGGCGGCGCCGUCCGUACAGCAAGAAGGCGGACAUGUUCUCGCUCGGCGUGCUUCUUUACGAGCUGCUCACGCUGAAGCGUCCCUUCGACGGCGAGGAUAUCGAGGAGGUCAUGCACAAGACACUUGCUGGCCGCUUCGAUCCCCUGCCGGACAGCAUUAGCAAGGAGAUGCAAACAAUCGUUUCAGCGCUGCUGCAGAGCGAACCCAAAAAGCGGCCGUCUAGUAAGACGCUGCUGAACACACCAACGUGCAAGCUGUACAUCUCUGUUGUGCGGGAGAUCGUGCAGAGCGGAGAGGCCAGCGGCUUCUCCGUUGAGCAGGAAACGACCAUAACGCGUCAGCUGAAGCAGACGAAGGAAGAGCUUCAGGUCGACCGCCGUCGCCCACCGCUGUCGAUGGAGGAUGUCCUGCGCACGACUGUGAAGGUGCCCUUGAGCGACUCACCCGAUCGAAUCGGUUUUAUCUUGUACGGAGGCAAGGUGAUGAAGCAGAGCAGUGACCUUAGCUGGAAGCGCCGCUACGUGUGCGUCUACGGCGAGGUGGAAAAGGGAUGCACGCUGACAGGCGACGUGGCAUCCUGUCUGGUCUCGCUCGAGCUCGUGCAAGCGGUGUCUCGUGACACCCUGGAGCAGCAGUGCAUUUCGACCCCUUUUUCCGACUUGGAGGAUGUCUUCCCGGUGAUCAGCAAGUACACGGGCUCGGAUGCGGCGCACGCCUUCGCUGUGGCCUUCAAGAACGGCCGACGCAUAUUGUUUGACGCGGAUGACGACAAUGACCGCGACGGCUGGAUGCGCUCCAUCCAAAGCUUCCUUGGCACCGGAGACGAGGAUGAAUGAGUAGCGCCGCAGCGGAGGCGGGAAGACAAGCGCCUGCUGGGUACAUGGGGAGAAGGGGAAGAAGCUUUCUCAGGAGUACUUCCACCUCCGCUAACCUCCAUGUGUUGCUUGAGCAACUGCACUUCUUUUUGAUAUCGGGUCACGUGGGCUACACAUUGUAGCUGCGGCACGCAGAAGAUGGGGGAGGGGGAGCGUCUUUUUCGCUUGCUCUUCCUGCAUCCCCCGUUACCUGCCGUGGCACUCCUGUUUCUGCCGUACCGUCCUUCCUUUCGUGUUCUCAGCUUGUCGCUUCCCCCUUACCGAGCAGCAGCCAAGGAAAAAACUGCCUCCACCCCCUCCCCCUCCCCCUCGACUGCGCAUGUGCACGAUUACUCUUCCACUUCUCUUGUCCUACACUUCACUCUCCUCCACCUCCUCUCUUACCGGGUGCCGUAGUAACGCUCACUUGACAAGAGCAUGCAACUAACGGCGUAGAAGAGAAGGGGUAAGGGUGAGGGGAGUGCGGUGGGAGGUACAUGGGCGGGGAACGUGCGGGUCGCGUGUGGUUGCUGCGCACUCACACCCUUCCUUUUUUUGUUGUUGGCAACAGCGCAUUACGCAAGAGUCGCGUUUUUUUUUCCGAAGUCGGAUCGUGUUUCUUUUAUGUUGGCCGGCCCCCUUCUCGGUUUUGUUCUGCCUUUUCAUUUUCCAUGUGACCGCCUCUUUGUGGCGACCUUUUCUUCCUUCUUCAUGUCUUUUCCCGGAUGGGAGAACCUGCGCCGUGGGCAUCCCUGCCAAGCUGGUUUUCUGCGCGCGCGCGUGCUUUUCUGCACGCGUAUGUGUGCUCAUGUGCAUAAUCGUGUAUUCUGUCUUCACUGGUUGCUUUCUC